rnacentral:rRNA from 1 species
CGUGAGAUGUUGGGUUAAGUCCCGUAACGAGCGCAACCCUUGUCCUUAGUUACCAGCACGUAAUGGUGGGCACUCUAAGGAGACUGCCGGUGACAAACCGGAGGAAGGUGGGGAUGACGUCAAGUCAUCAUGGCCCUUACGGCCUGGGCUACACACGUGCUACAAUGGUCGGUACAGAGGGUUGCCAAGCCGCGAGGUGGAGCUAAUCUCACAAAACCGAUCGUAGUCCGGAUCGCAGUCUGCAACUCGACUGCGUGAAGUCGGAAUCGCUAGUAAUCGCGAAUCAGAAUGUCGCGGUGAAUACGUUCCCGGGUCUUGUACACACCGA